rnacentral:rRNA from 1 species
AAAGGAAGCGGAAAAGAAUCUUGUGCAAUAAACGAAAGUAUGACACAGAGAGGACACAUUUAAUUAAGCCCGUCAAAUUAAGUGCCAGCCGACGCGGUUAAACUUAAGGGCUGGUCUUUAUAAGUAAAAAGGCGUAAAGGAUGUGUAGGCCAAGAAACAAUCAAAGUAGGUAAAUGGAAUUUUUCUGGAGCGGUAGAAUGCGAGGAUAGAAAAUAGAACCCCUAAGGUAAAAACUAUUUACCACAAGGUAGGCUGAAACAUGAAAGUGUGGGGAGCAAACAGGAUUAGAGACCCUGGUAGUCCACACUGUAAACUUUGAAGAUGAUGCUUAGCAGACCCGAAAGGUCAAAUCUUCCGCCUGAGUAGUACGAUCGCAAGAUUAAAAUUCAAAAACUUUGGCUGUUCACUAUUUCGAUUAGAGGAGCGUGUAGUUUAAUUCGAUGGUCCGCGUGUUACCUUACCCCAACUUGAAUCUGUGACCGGUAUUGCAUGGCCGUCGUAAGUUCGUGUAUUAAGCUAGAAGGGACCCAACCCGGGCAUUUGCCCGGAGGAAGUCAGGUCUUAUGAUCCGAAUGUUGGGGGAUUUUAUGCGCUACAUUUUCUUAUAUAAUGGGAAACCUGAAAGGUGAGCCUCUAAAGUAAGAGUUCGGAAGGUCGCUGUAAGACGACUGGAAGUUGGAUUUAAUAGUAAUCGGAAAGUAGGGCGUUCCGGUGAAUUGGUACAAGUGUUAGCACAAAUUGCCCGUCACCUUUACCUAGAAUGGUUAUUCGGACGUCUUAGGUGAUUACGAAUGCCUACGAGGUAAAGCAAGUCGUAACAUAGUG